rnacentral:rRNA from 1 species
UACGGGGGGAGCAAGCGUCGUUCGGAUUUACUGGGCGUAAAGGGCGCGUAGGCGGUCAGCACAAGUCAGUUGUGAAAUCUCCGGGCUUAACUCGGAAAGGUCAACUGAUACUGUGCGACUAGAGUGCAGAAGGGGCAACUGGAAUUCUCGGUGUAGCGGUGAAAUGCGUAGAUAUCGAGAGGAACACCUGCGGCGAAGGCGGGUUGCUGGGCUGACACUGACGCUGAUGCGCGAAAGCCAGGGGAGCGAACGGG